GCCUGUGUGGCUCAGUCGGUUAAGCAUCUGACUUCCGCUCAGGUCAUGAUCUCCCAGUUUGUGGGUUCAAGCCCUGCGUCGGGCU
rnacentral:tRNA from 1 species